rnacentral:tRNA from 3 species
GGCGCCAUAGCCAAGUGGUAAGGCAGAGGUCUGCAAAACCUCGAUGCCCCAGUUCAAAUCUGGGUGGCGCCUCCA